GUCCAGUUGCGUAGUGGUGUAGCGCGCGGCGGAUCAAUCAUGAGUCGUGGUUCGUGGAUUAUGGCAGCCGGGAGCCCUGUUCGACUCAGGGACUGGACC